UGCCAUCUUCCGCUAGGUGCUCACUGC
rnacentral:piRNA from 1 species